CGCUGGCGGUGUGCUUAACACAUGCAAGUGGUGCGACGAACCAGAGCUUGCUCUGGGCAAAGCCGCGAACGGGUGAGUAACACGUGGGUAAUCUACCCCGAUGACCGGGACAACCCGAGGAAACUCGGGCUAAUACCGGAUGUGGUACGGAGACAUAAGUCUCUUUACUAAAGGUAGCUUCGGCUUCCGCAUUGGGAGGGGCCCGCGGCCCAUUAGCUAGUUGGUGGGGUCAAGGCCUACCAAGGCAACGAUGGGUAGCUGGUCUGAGAGGACGAUCAGCCACACUGGGACUGAGACACGGCCCAGACUCCUACGGGAGGCAGCAGUGGGGAAUCUUGCGCAAUGCGCGAAAGCGUGACGCAGCAACACCGCGUGAGGGAAGACGGCCUUAGGGUUGUAAACCUCUUUCAGAUGGGACGAAGGUGAUGCGGUGAAUAGCCGAUGUCAUUGACGGUACCGUCAGAAGAAGCUCCGGCUAACUACGUG
rnacentral:rRNA from 1 species